rnacentral:lncRNA from 1 species
GUCACGCGUUGCCUAGGUUUCCUAACCUCGCCGCCGCCGUGCGGCCUGGUUCCCGGACCAAGCCUCAGGACCAUCGGGCAUGGUGGAGCCCGGGGCGAGGGCGCGCUGCUAUGGAGGGCGAUAAGAAACGUUCCAAAGAUGACACUUGGAAAUCCAGUGAACUAAAGAAGCAUCUUAAGGCGUCUCCCUCAGAGAGUCAUUCUGAAGAUAGUAGACAUCGACAGAGAAGACCCCGAGAAAGGGGUAGUAGUGAUUCUGAUGAUUUGAAAGGGGAUUUCCACAAGGAACAGGAGAAGGAUAAAGUUAAAUCNAAAGAAAAGACAGGAGAAAAGGCAAGAUUUAAAUCUAGUGAAAGACAUAAGGAUGAGCGGAAGGAGAAAGCAAGAGACAAAGAGCGUUCCAGAGAACCAGAAAAAGAGAAAGCUAAGGUGAUGCUUGAAAAACAUGCCAAAGAAGAAAAAUAUUUAACUGGAAAAAGUCGAGAGAAACACAGUGGUAAAGAGAGAGAAAGAAAGCAUAAGAAAGAUGAUCCUCAUAAAAUUCUGGCUCAGAAUCCCUUGGAGGUUUAUGGGCAAAGAGAUAAAGAUCAUCAGAGAAGAAGAGGCAGCAAGGAUCACACAGGUGGGUUAGUUUGUUCAUUGUAAUCUUUUUGAUACUGAUCUUCUGGUAAGUGGAAACUUCACCCCACAAGAUGGAAAACUUUGUUCUCCUCUCCGUUUUAUCCCUACAACAAUCCUUUGAGGUAGAUGAGGUUGAGAGUAGCAACUAGUUCAAUGUGUCCCGUUGAGCAGGGAUUUUUGCUGUGAUUUUCCAGGUUCUAGUUCACAAGAUAUGGCAGCAUAAUUCCUGC